rnacentral:rRNA from 1 species
AUUGAACGCUGGCGGCAUGCCUUACACAUGCAAGUCGAACGGUAACAGGUCUUCGGAUGCUGACGAGUGGCGAACGGGUGAGUAAUACAUCGGAACGUGCCUAGUAGUGGGGGAUAACUACUCGAAAGAGUGGCUAAUACCGCAUGAGAUCUACGGAUGAAAGCAGGGGAUCGCAAGACCUUGUGCUAUUAGAGCGGCCGAUGGCAGAUUAGGUAGUUGGUGGGAUAAAAGCUUACCAAGCCGACGAUCUGUAGCUGGUCUGAGAGGACGAUCAGCCACACUGGGACUGCGACACGGCCCAGACUCCUACGGGAGGGAGCAGUGGGGAAUUGUGGACAAUGGGCGCAAGCCUGAUCCAGCAAUGCCGCGUGCAGGAUGAAGGCCUUCGGGUUGUAAACUGCUUUUGUACGGAACGAAAAGCCCUGGGUUAAUACCCUGGGGUCAUGACGGUACCGUAAGAAUAAGCACCGGCUAACUACGUGCCAGCCGCCGCGGUAAUAC